GUGGGGAAUUUUGGACAAUGGGCGAAAGCCUGAUCCAGCAAUGCCGCGUGCAGGAUGAAGGCCCUCGGGUUGUAAACUGCUUUUGUACGGAACGAAAAGCCUGGGGCUAAUAUCCCCGGGUCAUGACGGUACCGUAAGAAUAAGCACCGGCUAACUACGUGCCAGCAGCCGCGGUAAUACGUAGGGUGCAAGCGUUAAUCGGAAUUACUGGGCGUAAAGCGUGCGCAGGCGGUUUUGUAAGACAGUGGUGAAAUCCCCGGGCUCAACCUGGGAACUGCCAUUGUGACUGCAAGGCUAGAGUGCGGCAGAGGGGGAUGGAAUUCCGCGUGUAGCAGUGAAAUGCGUAGAUAUGCGGAGGAACACCGAUGGCGAAGGCAAUCCCCUGGGCCUGCACUGACGCUCAUGCACGAAAGCGUGGGGAGCAAACAGGAUUAGAUACCCUGGUAGUCC
rnacentral:rRNA from 1 species